AACGAACGCUGGCGGCAUGCCUAACACAUGCAAGUCGAACGAGAUCUUCGGGUCUAGUGGCGCACGGGUGCGUAACGCGUGGGAAUCUGCCCUUUGGUUCGGAAUAACAGUUGGAAACGACUGCUAAUACCGGAUGAUGACUUCGGCCCAAAGAUUUAUCGCCCAAGGAUGAGCCCGCGUCGGAUUAGCUUGUUGGUGAGGUAAAAGCUCACCAAGGCGACGAUCCGUAGCUGGUCUGAGAGGAUGAUCAGCCACACUGGGACUGAGACACGGCCCAGACUCCUACGGGAGGCAGCAGUGGGGAAUAUUGGACAAUGGGCGAAAGCCUGAUCCAGCAAUGCCGCGUGAGUGAUGAAGGCCUUAGGGUUGUAAAGCUCUUUUACCCGGGAUGAUAAUGACAGUACCGGGAGAAUAAGCCCCGGCUAACUCCGUGCCAGCCGCCGCGGUAACAC
rnacentral:rRNA from 1 species